UGGCAUGGUGAUUCAGUCUCAAGUUCCGCGCGAUUGGAUUGGGGCAGGCACUGUGAUCCACUCACCAGAGGUCUUAGGGUCCCGUGGGGAGUCCCGUGUGGACCCUUGCGGGUGUUGGGCAAGACUCUGCUGGCAAGGUAGCCCGGGGCUCGAGUCUCGAGUCGAGCGGAAGGGACUUGUGCCCCAGAUCAGGCCCGGGUAGCCUGCUUCCCUAUGUACCGCAGUCUCAAGUUCCGCGCGAUUGGAUUGGGGCAGGCACUGUGGUCCACUCACCAGAGGUCUUAGGGUCCCGUGGGAUUCCCGUGUGGGCCCUUGCGGGUGUUGGGCAAGACUCUGCUGGCAAGGUAGCCCGGGGCUCGAGUCACGAGUCGAGCGGAAGGGACUUGUGCCCCAGAUCAGGCCCGGGUAGCCUGCUUCCCUAUGUACCGCAGUCUCAAGUUCCGUGCGAUUGGAUUGGGGCAGGCACUGUGGUCCACUCACCAGAGGUCUUAGGGUCCCGUGGGGAGUCCCGUGUGGGCCCUUGCGGGUGUUGGGCAAGACUCUGCUGGCAAGGUAGCCCGGGGCUCGAGUCUCGAGUCGAGCGGAAGGGACUUGUGCCCCAGAUCAGGCCCGGGUAGCCUGCUUCCCUAUGUACCGCAGUCUCAAGUUCCGCGUGAUUGGAUUGGGGCAGGCACUGUGGUCCACUCACCAGAGGUCUUAGGGUCCCGUGGGGAGUCCCGUGUGGGCCCUUGCGGGUGUUGGGCAAGACUCUGCUGGCAAGGUAGCCCGGGGCUCGAGUCUCGAGUCGAGCGGAAGGGACUUGUGCCCCAGAUCUCUCUGUGUCUUUUUAGGCUGUGACAGGUAUAAUGACAAGCUGCUCUGUUCAAGACCAAGGUGUUCCUUCAAGAAGGAAUACCUGUGGGGAACUCAUGAGCUCUGUCAUUCAGAUUCCCCAGGAAGGUGUCACCAAAAAUCCACACACAAACAACCACAGCUCCUAUUCAAUAGAAGACGCUGAGGUGCACAUCUUAAAGAUGUUGGGCUUCACAGCUUUGCUCUACACAAAAGCUUAUCAAUGGGGCUGUGAGAAAACUAUAUUUUGGAAAGAGUUUCCAACAAUGGGGUUUUUUUGGUAGGGGCUAUUCUGUGAAAAAUAAGUCUCUGCAUGGAAAAAUGAAAGAAUAGUUUCUACAAAUUAUCACAAAUGGUAAGAGAGUGAAGGGACAAGGAAAACUGGAGGUUUUGUGUUAAGGUAGAUUCUGCACCACCUCUUAUCACAAGCACUGUGAUGAGACUGGUGAAAUGGCUUAGACAUUAAAAGCAUUGGCUGCUGUUCCAAAGGACCUGGGUUUAAGUCUCAGAAUUUACAUAGCAGCACACAAUCACCUAUAACUCCAGUUCCAGAGUAUAUAAUGACCUUUUCUGGCCUAAGUCAGCACCUGUCAUGCACAUGUGUAAAAAUAUACAUGAAGGCAAAAACACCC
rnacentral:lncRNA from 1 species